UGUGAGUGAGGCAGAAAUACAAGCUCUCGGGAUUUCGGUGAUGAUGACAUGCUGAGGAAGUGGACUGGCUCUCCCGACUCCAGCCAGAAGCCUAAAAAUCUCUCCAGGGAAAGCAGCAGAGGUGAAGAAAUCCUAACCUGUCUACUCUGAGAUCAUGAAGAUUUGUCCUGUUUUCUUCCAGAAGCGUUAUUGUUUCAUCAUUCACAUUUAGGUCUACAAUUCAUUUCAAAAUAACUUUUCUGUAUGAUGUAAGCAGCCCCAGGAAACUAAUGCCUGUGCAGACUAACAACUGAUUCAUAAAAGACACCUGAACUGAUGGAGGGUUACAACCAGCGCGCCUGCCUGAGUGAGAGCUGCACCCCAGAUGGGCAGGCAGAAGCACCCGCCUCUCCCUCUUUCAUACCACAUCUCUUCCUCCUUGCGCUGGAGACUGUCCCUGAACCACAGUGGGUCCAGCCUCACGCUGGGGUUCUUGUAUGGAAAACAGGAGUAGGGGGGCUGGCCAGUUCCUUCACUAUGCUGGGUCUUGUUCUUCUGGUUCCUCUAGCAUCGGAGGGAGGGAUGGCAGGAAGGAGAGGUGCUGUGUUCACUUGGUAUUGGUGCCCUCUGGCUGUGGCAGGUGUCCAAAUGCUAAUUCUUCCCCUGGCUGAGUGCUUCUGGGGUUCUCAGCAGCCCCACAGUGAGCCUUCAGCUGCAGUUUCCUUGCACUAUCGACGCUCCCUUGGUUGGCUGUGAGGGAUCGUUUCCCAGCCCCUGAUCUGAAAGUCCACCCUGCAGACCCCCUCUUGGGUCUUGACAGCUCAAGGCGAGCCACCUUCCAGAGACCCAGGGGCCACAGGAAGCUCACUCAUCUUGCUGUGCCAGACUGUAAAUACAGGCCAUUACCAACAUGCUGUUUUAAUUAAAGUGACUUUAAAAUAAGAUUUAACAACUGGUAGGUCAAUUCCCCCUAGCCAUUGUAUUUUAAUAAUUUCCUUGUAUACUUACUCUUUGCUCUAAACUUUUAAAUCAUUUGUCCAGCUCCCUUCCCUUCCCACCUCUUUCCCCCUACCCCUAAAAGCCAAAAUACAUUAAAUUUGUAUUGUAAUUAGGGGAAAAUGACAUUUUUGUGGUAUUACAUUUUCCCAUUCAAUAAUUUAAAUUUUCUCUACUUGUUAAACUUUUAUUUUGGGUCUUUCCAUUCAGUUUCAUAGUUUUUCUCACAUAGGUUCUGUAUCUUUCUUUUUAAAAUUAUUUCUAAGCAUUUAUAGUUAUUGCAAACGCAUCUUUUUGUUUUUAUUUCUAGCUGUUUCAGAGAAAAACAUAGAUAUUUUUUAUAUAUUGUUUUUUCAGCCACCUUAAAUUCUCUUAUCAAUCUUAGUAGUCUAUUUCCAAAAAUGCCUUGGCUUUUUUGUAUGUAUAAUAAUUCUGUUUGCAAAUAAAGAUAAUUUUCUCUUUAUUCCACAAAUAUAACCAAUUAAUUAUUUUCUUUUCUUGCACAGUUUAUUUAGCUAGCACAUCUAAAAUUGUCUUGAAUUUAAUGGUGAUGGUAGGUAUAUAAUUUUUACUGGUAAUUUUUUUGCCUUUUGUUUCCCCUCCCCAAACCCCCCCAGUACAGAGUUGUGUAUCUUAGCUGUAGGUCUUUCUGGUUCUGCCACAUGGGAGGUUGCCUCAGCAUGGCCAAAUGAGCGACGCUGGGUCUGCACUCAGGAUCAGAACUGGUGAGCCCUGUGCCACUGAAGUGGAGCGUGCAGCCGCUCGGCCACUGGCUCAGCCCCUUUGCUGGUAAUUUUAAUGAAAGUAAUUUCAACCUAUCAGUAACUAUUAUGACAUUUGCUGUUGGUUUUGAUAAAUGUGUUUGUCUUGUUUAACAUGUUUUCCUUCUAUUAUUUUAUUUGGAAUUUUUAUUAGGAAUGAUUGCAAUAGUAUUAAAUGCCUUGUUACAUGUCUUGAUAUAGCCACAUGAUUUUUCUCCUUUAUGUAAAUGUUCUCUGAUCUUGAAUAACUUUUCAUUUUGGGAAUAAGCCCUAUUUUGUCACACAGUCACCAAAAUGAAAAGUUAUUCAAGAUCAGAGAACAUUUACACAAAGGAGAAAAACGUGUGCGUGUAUGUAUAUUAUACAUAUAUAUGUACACACACACAGAGUCAUGCACUGCAUAACGAUGUUUUGGUCAAUGAUGGACUGCAUACACAACAGUGGUCCCAAAAGAUUAGUUCCAUAUAGCCUAGGUGUGCAGCAGGCUAUACCAUCCAGGUUUGUGUAAGUACUAUAGGGGAAGAAGACAUUUUCCUCUACCCAUCUAGUUUCUUUUGACUGGCCUAAGAAUUAAAUUGAUAUGAGACAGAAUAACAGGAGAAAAACAGAAGUUUAAUAAUGUGUACACAGGAGAAACCCAGGAAAACUGAGUAACUCACCAAAAUGGCAGAAGCCCUCACCUUAAAUACCAUCCUCAGCUAAGGACAAAAGAAGGUGUUGGGGGUGGGGAGAGUCAGGGACUUCAAAAGGAAGGAAGGCAAUUCACAGGUAGGUGAAAAGGAGCAAAUGUUUGGAAAAUCAGUGAUUCCUUGGCCAUACGGAAACAGAAGAACACAGAGAGGGGCCCAAAAAACAGGCUUUUCUAGGUGCCUCCCUGUCCACCACCUAGUUCAUGUGAUGCUCAGGUGAUAGCUUGCUUCCUGGGACAGGUUUUUUUAUCCAAAUUCUUUUAGGCAUUAAGGGGCAGGUAACAAGAAAAACUGAGUUAUUUGUUUCUUAAAAAUAAUCAGCCUAGGGGCCAGCCUGGUGGCGUAGUGGUUAAGUUCACACACUCCACUUUGGCGGCCCAGGCUUCAUGGGUUCAGAUCUUGGGCACAGACCCACAUUCCGCUCAUUGGGCUGUGCUGUGGUGGCAUCCUACAUGCAAAGUAGAGGACAACUGCCACAGGUGUUAGCUCAGGGACAAUCUUCUUCACCAAAAAAAAAAAAAAAAAAAACCCUAAGUAAACCUAAAAUAAUCCUAGUCUUACAGAGACACAUUUUUGGGUGGCAAAUUUUGUUCUCCUUCAGUACACUCUAUGACAUUCGCAUAAUGCUGAAAUCGUCAAACAACAUGUUUCUCAGAAUGUAUCCCCAUUGUUGACUCAUGACUAUAUAUUACCGGUUUCAGUUUUCUAUCAACUUGCCAUAAAACAAAUAUAAUCGUAAAAAUAAGGUAAAAGCAAAAUGAAAGUGUUAAAUUCUUCUAUACCAUUGCCUCUGGAAGGCUAUGCAGUGUAAUGGUUAGAGCUCAGACUCAGGAGCCAGCCUCGCCGAGUUUAGAUGCCCCCUGCACCACUUGAUGCGCCCAGUGAGGAGCCACAUUUCCCUGCCUCAUCUGCAGAUGAAAGUGGCCAGUGAGUGGUAGGUGGAAGUCUGUGUGGGCCUUCUGAGAAGGCGUGCCCUUUCCUAUUUCUGUUUGUUACCUUUCCUCCCUCUUCUUUCUAUCUAGAUGCUGGGUGUGACGGCUGCCGGGCAGGACAGGGUGGGGCCCAUCCAAGCGCUGCAGUGAACGGCAGGCAGUGUCUGCAGGGGAGGCGCAUGGCGGCCGGCAGCCCUGGCGCAGCCCGGCCUCCGCGGACAGAGCUGGAUCUUUCUUCCAGGAGGCUGUGUCCUG
rnacentral:lncRNA from 1 species